rfam:Macaca mulatta chromosome 6, whole genome shotgun sequence.
GGGAAAUGGGGAGCGGGGCCAGUCCCAGGCCCCGACAUCAAAUGGGACA